AAAAGCACCUCGCUUUUGUGGGUGUCCAGUGCGCUCGCGAGGAUCCAUGAAAACCCAAUGGAGCGAGUGUCGCAUGUCGCUUUUGAAAAAGGGAAGGCGUGCGGCGACUAUCUCUUUACACCAAGCCGUACCAAUAACCGCAUCAGGUCUCCAAGGUGAAGAGCCUCUAGGCAAGUAGAGUAAUGUAGAUAAGGGAAGUCGGCAAAAUGGAUCCGUAACUU
rnacentral:ncRNA from 1 species